GAACGCUGGCGGCGUGCCUAAUACAUGCAAGUCGAACGGUCUUUUCUAUGGAAGCUUGCUUCCACUGAGAAGAUAGUGGCGAACGGGUGAGUAACACGUGGGUAACCUGCCCAUAAGAGGGGGGAUAACAUCCGGAAACGGGUGCUAAUACCGCAUAGUUUUCUUGGUCGCAUGAUCGGGAAAGGAAAGACGGCCUUUGUGCUGUCGCUUAUGGAUGGACCCGCGGCGUAUUAGUUAGUUGGUGAGGUAACGGCUCACCAAGACGAUGAUACGUAGCCGACCUGAGAGGGUGAUCGGCCACAUUGGGACUGAGACACGGCCCAAACUCCUACGGGAGGCAGCAGUAGGGAAUCUUCCGCAAUGGACGAAAGUCUGACGGAGCAACGCCGCGUGAGUGAAGAAAGGUUUUCGGAUCGUAAAACUCUGUUGUCAGAGAAGAACAAGUUGGAGAGUAACUGCUCCAGCCUUGACGGUAUCUGACCAGAAAGCCACGGCUAACUACGUGCCAGCCGCCGC
rnacentral:rRNA from 1 species